AUUUGUUGAUUCCGACAAAUUUCGUUGACCGCAUCUGUUAAUACCAUCCACUUUUGAGCUACCUCUUUUGCGCUACAGCUCCGGCUUUUGUGCGGCAAUGCUUAGUUAAUGAACUUCGAGGAUAUACGCUUUCCUGGCGCUGCUUUCCUUGACUGUGGCCUUCUCACUGCGCAGUGCAUUGUUUUUAAUUGGGACUAAGGCAAUGUGUGCUUUGGCAAGAGAUCGAAGAAUAGUUUGGGCUUCUAUUCAUCAACCAUGCAGUGAAGUGUUUGAACUCCUGGAUCAGUUGUACUCGCUCGAAGGUAGCAGAACUGUUUAUUGUCGCCAAGCUUCUGAGGCAUAUGAGGUACCAGUCUACCAAUCUAUUCACUUUUGUGCACGUCAUAAUCUUGCCUAUUGCAACAUGCCAUGACUUCCUAUUUGCUGAAUUCCCCCGCUAAGCUAACAUUGGCAACGUAACUUUUGCUAUUCAGAUUUGGUGCUGAUCAUUAAACUGGUUAACAACCGAGUAGAUGCAAUCAACCAAUGCCUCUACACGUCCUCCGAUUUAUUUUUGGCUGCCAAGUAUAUUCUUUUGCUCCUAAUAAUUUUUGUUUCCCAAAUUUAUUCAUUUGUUAUUUACUUCUAUGCUUAUCUGUUAGCCCAGCAUUUUCAUUGCAAAUACAUUUACAUAUACAUCAACGCUUUUGAAAUCUGUCACAGCGCUCAUUUUUGACUAUGACGUCCCCGUACCUUUUUUGCUUGGUUCCCAUGCAUCUCUCCAUGUAUGAUACAUCCAUCCGACUUCCCCAUUCAUCUAAUCUUGCUUCCAUUUCAAUAUGCUUGGUGAUUCAACGCAAUUAAUUAGUUUAGGUCUGUUCUAUUCUUUCCUAUCCAUCCUGUUCAACCCUGUGAAUCUCUCGUGACAAGACAGAUUCCUACCUGGAGUUAAUGAACUUCAUUUUCCAUACUUGCUUCAACACUUACUGUGAAUUACAUUUAAUGAUACUUUAUCUUCUUUUAGUCAUACUUAUGUCAGGUGUAAUUAAACUAAGUUAUUAUGAAUUCUAUUUUUAGUCUUCGGACUACUUGGUUGCUGACUGAUCUCAUUUCAUGAUCUGCAUUUAUUGAGUACCUGUUUCUUAUUAAUUUUCGUCACGCUAUACUCCAAAGGCGGGAACUUUUUCUUCUUCAAAUUUUUUAACUUUGUCUGAUUCCUGCGUAUAAAGUGCUCCCUAUAUUGUCCGUAAUUAAUUCUGAACCGUCAACAUAUAUUAUUUACUAUAUAUUGUAUAUUAUAAUAUAUUAUAUAUUAUAUAUGCUGGUCAUUAUCAUGAUUAUUUAUCGUUGUAUUACAUGCUAAAUAUCUCUAAUGGGUUAUUUAAUAAGCCCUCUGAUCAUCACAUUAGCUGGGAUUCUAUUUACUGU